rnacentral:rRNA from 1 species
UAACUGGGCGUUAAGUUGCAGGGUAUAGACCCGAAACCCGGUGAUCUAGCCAUGGGCAGGUUGAAGGUUGGGUAACACUAACUGGAGGACCGAACCGACUAAUGUUGAAAAAUUAGCGGAUGACUUGUGGCUGGGGGUGAAAGGCCAAUCAAACCGGGAGAUAGCUGGUUCUCCCCGAAAGCUAUUUAGGUAGCGCCUCGUGAAUUCAUCUCCGGGGGUAGAGCACUGUUUCGGCAAGGGGGUCAUCCCGACUUACCAACCCGAUGCAAACUGCGAAUACCGGAGAAUGUUAUCACGGGAGACACACGGCGGGUGCUAACGUCCGUCGUGAAGAGGGAAACAACCCAGACCGCCAGCUAAGGUCCCAAAGUCAUGGUUAAGUGGGAAACGAUGUGGGAAGGCCCAGACAGCCAGGAUGUUGGCUUAGAAGCAGCCAUCAUUUAAAGAAAGCGUAAUAGCUCACUGGUCGAGUCGGCCUGCGCGGAAGAUGUAACGGGGCUAAACCAUGCACCGAAGCUGCGGCAGCGACGCUGAUGCGUUGUUGGGUAGGGGAGCGUUCUGUAAGCCUGUGAAGGUGUGCUGUGAGGUAUGCUGGAGGUAUCAGAAGUGCGAAUGCUGACAUAAGUAACGAUAAAGCGGGUGAAAAGCCCGCUCGCCGGAAGACCAAGGGUUCCUGUCCAACGUUAAUCGGGGCAGGGUGAGUCGACCCCUAAGGCGAGGCCGAAAGGCGUAGUCGAUGGGAAACAGGUUAAUAUUCCUGUACUUGGUGUUACUGCGAAGGGGGGACGGAGAAGGCUAUGUUGGCCGGGCGACGGUUGUCCCGGUUUAAGCGUGUAGGCUGGUUUUCCAGGCAAAUCCGGAAAACUAAGGCUGAGGCGUGAUGACGAGGCACUACGGUGCUGAAGCAACAAAUGCCCUGCUUCCAGGAAAAGCCUCUAAGCAUCAGGUAACAUCAAAUCGUACCCCAAACCGACACAGGUGGUCAGGUAGAGAAUACCAAGGCGCUUGAGAGAACUCGGGUGAAGGAACUAGGCAAAAUGGUGCCGUAACUUCGGGAGAAGGCACGCUGAUAUGUAGGUGAAGUCCCUCGCGGAUGGAGCUGAAAUCAGUCGAAGAUACCAGCUGGCUGCAACUGUUUAUUAAAAACACAGCACUGUGCAAACACGAAAGUGGACGUAUACGGUGUGACGCCUGCCCGGUGCCGGAAGGUUAAUUGAUGGGGUCAGCGCAAGCGAAGCUCUUGAUCGAAGCCCCGGUAAACGGCGGCCGUAACUAUAACGGUCCUAAGGUAGCGAAAUUCCUUGUCGGGUAAGUUCCGACCUGCACGAAUGGCGUAAUGAUGGCCAGGCUGUCUCCACCCGAGACUCAGUGAAAUUGAACUCGCUGUGAAGAUGCAGUGUACCCGCGGCAAGACGGAAAGACCCCGUGAACCUUUACUAUAGCUUGACACUGAACAUUGAGCCUUGAUGUGUAGGAUAGGUGGGAGGCUUUGAAGUGUGGACGCCAGUCUGCAUGGAGCCGACCUUGAAAUACCACCCUUUAAUGUUUGAUGUUCUAACGUUGACCCGUAAUCCGGGUUGCGGACAGUGUCUGGUGGGUAGUUUGACUGGGGCGGUCUCCUCCUAAAGAGUAACGGAGGAGCACGAAGGUUGGCUAAUCCUGGUCGGACAUCAGGAGGUUAGUGCAAUGGCAUAAGCCAGCUUGACUGCGAGCGUGACGGCGCGAGCAGGUGCGAAAGCAGGUCAUAGUGAUCCGGUGGUUCUGAAUGGAAGGGCCAUCGCUCAACGGAUAAAAGGUACUCCGGGGAUAACAGGCUGAUACCGCCCAAGAGUUCAUAUCGACGGCGGUGUUUGGCACCUCGAUGUCGGCUCAUCACAUCCUGGGGCUGAAGUAGGUCCCAAGGGUAUGGCUGUUCGCCAUUUAAAGUGGUACGCGAGCUGGGUUUAGAACGUCGUGAGACAGUUCGGUCCCUAUCUGCCGUGGGCGCUGGAGAACUGAGGGGGGCUGCUCCUAGUACGAGAGGACCGGAGUGGACGCAUCACUGGUGUUCGGGUUGUCAUGCCAAUGGCACUGCCCGGUAGCUAAAUGCGGAAGAGAUAAGUGCUGAAAGCAUCUAAGCACGAAACUUGCCCCGAGAUGAGUUCUCCCUGACUCCUUGAGAGUCCUGAAGGAACGUUGAAGACGACGACGUUGAUAGGCCGGGUGUGUAAGCGCAGCGAUGCGUUGAGCUAACCGGUACUAAUGAACCGUGAGGCUUAACCUUACAACGCCGAAGGUGUUU